rnacentral:rRNA from 1 species
UGGGGAAUUUUGCACAAUGGGGGAAACCCUGAUGCAGCGACGCCGCGUGAUUUAGAAGGCCUUCGGGUUGUAAAAAUCUUUUUUAGGGGAUGAAAAUGACAGUACAAUAAGAAUAAGGUCCGGCUAAAUACGUGCCAGCAGCCGCGGUAAUACGUAUGGACCGAGCGUUGUCCGGAAUCAUUGGGCGUAAAGGGUACGUAGGCGGCCCAGUAAGUUAGAAGUGAAAUAAUAUAGCUCAACUAUAUAAAGCUUUUAAAACUGCUAGGCUUGAGAGGUGGAAGGGAAAGUGGAAUUCCUAGUGUAGCGGUGAAAUGCGCAGAUAUUAGGAAGAAUACCGGUGGCGAAGGCGACUUUCUGGUCAUCAUCUGACGCUGAGGUACGAAAGCGUGGGUAGCAAACAGG